AGUGCUGUUGAAUCCAGCAUUUACUUCCUGUGAAUUUGAACAACUUAUCUGAGCUCAGCAACGUGAACUGAAUGGACAGAACUGGUGAUCCUUAAUUCAUCAAAACAACAGACUCAUACAGAACUUUUAUCAUGUUCAGAUGCUUGAAUCUUUUGCUGCUGCUGUUAUUUUGCCUUGUAUAUCAUAGUGAAACUACCUUUGUAGGAACAACCCCUGUAUCUGUGACAGGGAAAAAAGGAGACAGUGUCAUCCUGUCAUGUCAAUUUGAGCCCAGUGACAUUUUUCGUAUUGAUUUAUGGAGACAAAAAUCCAUCUUUUCAUGUCAGAAUGAAACUUGUGAGAAUGGGCGAUUUUCAAAAAAAGGAUGUGAUGUCACCAUCAAGAAUCUGAGCUUCAGUGAUGCUGGGAAAUAUACUUUGAAAGUCUUUUACAAUCAUAUUCAGACAGUAUUGAAUCAAAAAAAGGAGAGGAUGUACCAACUUCAAAUUCAAGAUAAUAUUUCUGUGCAGGAAGGUGGGGAGUUGGGUGAUCUGCCCAGUGCUCAUAAAGUUCUGCAUCAGCCCAGCGGAAGCACAAAGUGGAUGGACGUUUGGCCCAAGGAUCAGAGUGAUGUGAACCUUCAUAAUUUUAGGACCAACCACACAGGAACAUACAGAGUUCUGGACUCUGAAGAAAACAUCUUGAUCACAGUGACAGUCACAGAAUCAGGUACAGAAUCAAAGGACAAACAAGACGACACAAAUAAAGACAAAACUGAACCACUUCCUGUUUGGGCUUUGAUUUUGAUUGUGAUUGUGAUUGGUGUGGUGCUGGUUCUGGCUGUGAUUAUAUUUAUUGUCAUCAAGAAACCCCAAUGUCUGAAAAGGGAUGCUGAUACUGUGACCUACCGUAACCCCUCAGAGCAGAUUAAACUGAAUCUGAAUCAACGAAAAGGGAGUGAUGACGGAACAAAGUAUUCCAGCUAGAACACAUGUGGCCCAUUCAUGUGUUUGUCGGACUGUAAACAAACCUGUCUGCUAGUGCUAGUUCACACAGAACAGCUGAAUCCCUCAUAUUCUUCAAGAAAACCUGAAAACUAUCUCUUCUGUGAGCAACUAACUGCCUUCUCAUUAGAAAAAAAAUAAAACAUUAAAUAAAAAAUACA
ensembl:lncRNA